rnacentral:rRNA from 1 species
AACGAACGCUGGCGGCAGGCUUAACACAUGCAAGUCGAACGCCCCGCAAGGGGAGUGGCAGACGGGUGAGUAACGCGUGGGAAUCUACCUAGUUCUACGGAACAACAGUUGGAAACGACUGCUAAUACCGUAUACGCCCUACGGGGGAAGGAUUUAUCGGAAUUAGAUGAGCCCGCGUAAGAUUAGCUAGUUGGUGGGGUAAUGGCCUACCAAGGCGACGAUCUUUAGCUGGUCUGAGAGGAUGAUCAGCCACACUGGGACUGAGACACGGCCCAGACUCCUACGGGAGGCAGCAGUGGGGAAUAUUGGACAAUGGGCGCAAGCCUGAUCCAGCCAUGCCGCGUGAGUGAUGAAGGCCUUAGGGUUGUAAAGCUCUUUCACCGAUGAAGAUAAUGACGGUAGUCGGAGAAGAAGCCCCGGCUAACUUCGUGCCAGCAGCCGCGGUAACAC